UUUACGAAAGAAAAAAAAUAGCCCAGCCACCCCGCAGUCCCGCACGACCUUGCCUCCUCGAUCCCACCUCGACAUCCAUCUCGCCGCCACCUCCUGCUCCGCCCCGCCGUGCGCCGCCCACCGCCACCGUGCCUGCGCCGCCGUACUCCCUAUCGACUCCGCUGUCCGAAUCCCGCCGCCGCCCCGCCUGCGUCCCUCCCCAAACUUUGCAUCAUCCUCCGCGAUCCAGAUCCAGAUCCCACCCCCCGCCCACCCCGCCCCAUGGGGGGCUGCCACGCCAAGCCGCACACCCGCCACGGCCGACGGCGCCUCCCGCCGCCGCCCGCGCCGGCCACGCCGCCUCCACCCUCCUCCACGGCGCCCGCCACGCCGGCCUCCAAGAAGCACUGGACGACAUCCCCCUUCUCCCCCUUCUCCACGCCCAGCCCCAGCCCGGCGCACCACUUCUUCUCCUCCUCCUCGGCGGCCUCCCUCAGGGCCUCCUCCAAACGCCGCGGAUCCCCACGGACGCCGCGGCAGGGCAUGGUCGCGUUAAUCGCAUGGAGGGUCGCGUCGAGGAAAGCGACGACCUCGCAGGCAUCGGGUCAAGCGGCUGGCCCUUCUUACGCGAUGGCGCCGUUCUUUUCUUCCCCGGCAGAGAUUGGUGCCGCCAUGGCCGCAUCAUGGAUUUUGUCUGCGUGCCAUCCGUGCCCCUCUGACGAUGCCCUGCAUCGCCACUGAUUUGGGAGUCUGUUAUUUUUUUUUUGCGCUGGAUCCUGAUUUGGGCGGGAUUUUUUUCCCAGGCAUUGAGAGCGCGCUGGACAGCGGGAACUGUCGCGUCAAGGAGGACGCUAUGGACAGUGGAUCCUGGGCGCUGCACGUUGCUGCCGGCCACGGGAGGAUGCCAUACCCUUUGGGCGCAACAAACUCUUGGCCAUAGCCUCUUCCGCUUUUCACAACAAGAAAGAGAUGCAUAUGAGAGGAAGAGAGCCUCCCCCAAGCUCUGUCUAGGCGAUGCACGGGAAAUUUGGAAAUUUGGAAACUAUCAAGGAGAUGUCGAAUGAUGAAUAUACUCAGAUACUGAGACACAUUCUAAAACGUGUUUACGCAGGUGAUGGGGCUGCUGCCAACUUGGGCCCGCUCAAGAACGGCGACUCUACAGGAGGGGGGUGGAGUCGCGGAAGCUCCUGUGCUAUUGGGAGCGACGGUUCCACAAUGAGCCGGUCUUUCGUCACCGGCGAGUUGGAGGAUAUCCAAGGCCGGAAGUGUUCGUCACCACUGAGCCGCGGCUGAGAUAAUACUGACGCGAUGUCCAGAUUUGGAUGUCUCAUCUCUGAACAUUUGAAACGCCGAGUACUCCAUGAAAGCUUGCCUAGCCCUUUUGCGCAAUAUUAUAUCUUUGGACGUUUGCACUUCCGCGGCUCUAGACAUGAGCUUCCUUAUAUGAGUGCUAGCGCGCUACAUUGCAGAGAAAGCUUUGAGAAAAUGCUUUGUUCGGAUGAUAGACAAGAAUAAUCAAUCCUCAUUCCAAGGCCAUGAGCAAAGAAUCUGGAGAGUGCCUGACGUUCCUCAACUUUUCUUAUGUUCCAAAUUCACUAUUAGUGUUGAUCAUCUUCAAAGAGCAUAAAACAGUUGCGAGCCGGCUGCGCCAUCAACGACGAUGGCGAGUUUGGAUUAGAAAUGCGAAGAUGAGAAGAUAGUUGGAGAGGAAGAAGGUAUAAAAUCAACAAUAGCGUCUGAUGUGCGUGCGGAUCCUAAUGGUACAUGUUUGACGCGAUCGGUGCUAACCUAAUAAGAUAUAUGCGGUGGCGCGAGGUGGGGCGGCAAUGAGGCGGUUGUGCUGCAUGAGGCAGCCAAGUCCAAGGCUGCACCGGGGAGGCUCCUGUUGGGGCGACGCAUGGGCGGCAGCCACCCCCAAGACCCUGUUAGCAUAAUGUCAUAACGAUAUAUUAAUAUUGAUUGUUGUGCAAAGGAGAAGGUUAUUGUUUGUAGUUAUAUUAGUUUAUUUCCUCAAUAUACAAUGACCUGGCUUAUUCUGUGUCCAAGAGGAAGGAAAAAUAUAUUUCUAGGUGUCAUGUGACUUACCUUUUAAAAGGAAUAAUCUCAUGCUA